rnacentral:rRNA from 1 species
GACGAACGCUGGCGGCGUGCUUAACACAUGCAAGUCGAACGGAAAGGCCCUGCUUUUGUGGGGUGCUCGAGUGGCGAACGGGUGAGUAACACGUGAGUAACCUGCCCUUGACUUUGGGAUAACUUCAGGAAACUGGGGCUAAUACCGGAUAGGAUCUCCUGCUGCAUGGUGGGGGUUGGAAAGUUUCGGCGGUUGGGGAUGGACUCGCGGCUUAUCAGCUUGUUGGUGGGGUAGUGGCUUACCAAGGCUUUGACGGGUAGCCGGCCUGAGAGGGUGACCGGCGACAUUGGGACUGAGAUACGGACCAGACUCCUACGGGAGGCAGCAGUGGGGAAUAUUGCAGAAUGGGCGGGAGCCUGAUGCAGCAACGCCGCGUGCGGGAUGACGGCCUUCGGGUUGUAAACAGAUUUCGAAUGUGACGAAGAGUGAGUGACGGUAAUGGGUAAAGAAGCACCGGCUAACUACGUG